GACCCUAUAGAGUUUGAUAUUUAGUAGAAUUUAUUUUUUUUAGAAUUUAUAAAUUGAAUUUUUCUAAUUAUUUGGUUGGGGUGAUUAAAAAAUUAAAAUAACUUUUUUUUUAUUGUUACAUUAAUUUAUGAGUAUUUGAUCCAUUUAUUAUGAUUAUAAGAUUAAAUUACCUUAGGGAUAACAGCGUAAUUUUUUUUGAGAGUUCAAAUCGAAAAAAAAGAUUGCGACCUCGAUGUUGGAUUAAAAUAAAUAUUUGGUGUAGAAGCUAAAUUAAUUGGGUCUGUUCGACCUUUAAAAUUUUACAUGAUCUGA
rnacentral:rRNA from 1 species